UGGGGAAUAUUGCACAAUGGGCGAAAGCCUGAUGCAGCGACGCCGCGUGAGGGAUGACGGCCUUCGGGUUGUAAACCUCUUUCAGCAGGGACGAAGCGCAAGUGACGGUACCUGCAGAAGAAGCACCGGCUAACUACGUGCCAGCAGCCGCGGUAAUACGUAGGGUGCAAGCGUUGUCCGGAAUUACUGGGCGUAAAGAGUUCGUAGGCGGUUUGUCGCGUCGUUUGUGAAAACCAGCAGCUCAACUGCUGGCUUGCAGGCGAUACGGGCAGACUUGAGUACUGCAAGGGAGACUGGAAUUCCUGGUGUAACGGUGAAAUGCGCAGAUAUCAGGAGGGACACCGGUGGCGAAGGCGGGUCUCUGGGCAGUAACUGACGCUGAGGAACGAAAGCGUGGGUAGCGAACAGG
rnacentral:rRNA from 1 species